rnacentral:tRNA from 1 species
GCCGCGAUAGUUCAGUUGGGAGAGCGUCAGUCUGAAGAUCUGAAGGUCGUUGUUUCGAUACCGGGUCAGGGCA